rnacentral:rRNA from 1 species
AUGUUUAAUGACUGCAUUGCCGACCUUGGUCUCCGCGAGUUAGAUAGGGUGGGUGCCAGGUUUACCUGGACCAACCGCCAGGCUUCUCCGACCCAGUCCGUUCUGGACCGGGUCCUAGUUUCCCCGGAAUGGGACCUCCGCUGCUCCCUCGCCUCCCUCCGAGCUAUCACUAGGAUUGGCUCCGACCAUGUCCCCCUCCUCCUUUCCUCCGCCGACGAGCGCCCCCCGCUACCCCGACGAUUCCGGUUUGAGACUUUCUGGCUGUCCCAGAAUGGCUUCGUGGAGGCUGUUGGCGCUCGUUGGGUCGAAGCUCGCGCCCACCCUCAGCCUCAUCCCUCCUCGGCCAUUGAUUCUUGGUAGUUUUGUGCCAAGCGGGGCCGUCAAUUUAUGAAGGGAUGGGGCGCCAACUUGGGGCGUGAUCUUCGCGAGCGCAAGAAGACCCUGUUGUCCGCCAUCCAGGCCCUCGACCUGCGCGCUGACGCGGUUGGCCUCUCGCCUAAGGAGUGGCUCUUUAGGUACGACUUGGAGGACCAGCUCUCGGUCAUAUACACCGACGAGGAGGCCUACUGGCGCUUGCGCGGCGCCCAGAAAUGGUUUCUGAAAGGUGACGCGAACACGGCCUACUUCCAGACCAUAGCGAAUGGUCGGUGUAGACGCAAGACCAUUCCCCUCCUUUGGGAUGGGGAUUCUCUGCUGCAGUCCCCCCGGGACAUCAGGGCUCAUGUCGAUGGAUUCUAUAGGGCCCUUUUCUCUGCCCCCCCUCGGGGAGGCUUAUCUUUGGCCCACGACUGCUGGUCCGGCCGCCAGCUUGUCUCCGCUCAGGAGAACGCGGUCCUUACGGCCCCCUUCUACGAGGGCGAGGUAUGGGAUGCCAUUCACGGCAUGAAUCCCACCUCGGCCCCGGGCCCGGAUGGCCUCCCCGUGAAAUUCUUCCAGACUUUCUAGAAUGUGAUCAAACUAGAGAUCAUGGCCAUUUUCGACGAGUUCUAUGUUUGGUCCAUCGACCUCGGGCGCCUCAACUAUGGGAUCAUCUCGCUCAUCCCGAAGGUCCCGGGCGCCUCCGACAUCCGCCAGUUUCGUCCAAUCACGGUCAUCAACGUGAUUUUUUGGAUUCUGGCAAAAGGGUACGCCAAUAGGGUAACCCUCCUCGCGGACCAGAUUACCCACCCCAACCAGUCCGCCUUUGAAGAUUGA